rnacentral:rRNA from 1 species
AUUGAACGCUGGCGGCAGGCCUAACACAUGCAAGUCGAGCGAGCGGCGGACGGGUGAGUAAUGUCUGGGAACCUGCCUGUUGGAGGGGGAUAACUACUGGGAACGCUAGCUCAUACCGCAUACCAUCGGAUGUGCCCAGAGGGGAUUAGUUAGUGGGUGGGGUAACGGCUCACCUAGGCGACGAUCCCUAGCUGGUCUGAGAGGAUGACCAGCCACACUGGAACUGAGACACGGUCCAGACUCCUACGGGAGGCAGCAGUGGGGAAUAUUGCACAAUGGGCGCAAGCCUGAUGCAGCCAUGCCGCGUGUAUGAAGAAGGCCUUCGGGUUGUAAAGUACUUUCAGCGGGGAGGCGUUACCCGCAGAAGAAGCACCGGCUAACUCCGUGCCAGCAGCCGCGGUAAUAC